UGGGCUGUGGUGAAGUGGUCAACACAACAGAUUUUGAUUCUGUCAUUCGUGAGUUCAAGUCCCACCAGCCUAG
rnacentral:tRNA from 1 species